UGAGGAACAUGACCUUCGGCGGGGGAUAGCCGGCCCAACGGCCGGGUAAUACCGCGUACGCCCUACGAGCGGCAUCGCUUGAUGGGGAAAGUCGCAAGACGCCGAUGGAGAACUUCGCGGCCUAUCAGCUAGUUGGUGAGGUCAUGGCUCACCAAGGCGACGACGGGUAGCUGGUCCGAGAGGAUGACCAGCCACAUUGGGACUGAGACACGGCCCAGACCUCCGUAGGGA
rnacentral:rRNA from 1 species